rnacentral:rRNA from 1 species
GAUGAACGCUGGCGGCGUGCCUAAUACAUGCAAGUCGAGCGAACAGACGAGGAGCUUGCUCCUCUGACGUUAGCGGCGGACGGGUGAGUAACACGUGGAUAACCUACCUAUAAGACUGGGAUAACUUCGGGAAACCGGAGCUAAUACCGGAUAAUAUAUUGAACCGCAUGGUUCUAUAGUGAAAGACGGUUUUGCUGUCACUUAUAGAUGGAUCCGCGCCGCAUUAGCUAGUUGGUAAGGUAACGGCUUACCAAGGCGACGAUGCAUAGCCGACCUGAGAGGGUGAUCGGCCACACUGGAACUGAGACACGGUCCAGACUCCUACGGGAGGCAGCAGUAGGGAAUCUUCCGCAAUGGGCGAAAGCCUGACGGAGCAACGCCGCGUGAGUGAUGAAGGUCUUCGGAUCGUAAAACUCUGUUAUUAGGGAAGAACAAAUGUGUAAGUAACUAUGCACGUCUUGACGGUACCUAAUCAGAAAGCCACGGCUAACUACGUG